GGAAAACAUUAGGCCAUGGAACAAUUUUCAAAUUAAUGUCAAGCCUUAUAAAUCGAAGGAUCUGUUGUGAUGUAUGCUAGACGUGGUUCCAUUGCAAGCGCGUGAAGAUUACACCAGCUAGAGCCGAGCAUAUUAACCAAUACAAGUGUCCUUCAUGCAGUAACAAGAGAGCCUGUGCUUGAUGUGAAAUAUUAUUAUCUGUACUCUUGAUAAACGUCCAAAUCUUUGUUGUUUAGGUCAUUUCUUGUUUGAGUAUAAUGUGGAGAAUUAACCUAUGAAUAGAACUCUUAUUGGGCAGUCUUGCAAUUGGUAUAGUCUGUUCAUGGACCAUUACAUUCUCUUGUAGAGUUUUCAGUUUUUUCUUUUGAUGAUAUGAUAAGAAGCACAUUUAAAUCA